ACCUGCUAGCUGCGGUAUUUUGACCGUGCUAAGGUAGCAUAAUCAUUUGUCUUUUAAUUGAAGGCUAGUAUGAAAGGUACGACGAGGGGAAUUCUGUCUUGAAUUUUAUUUCUAAGUGCAAAAGCUUAGAUGAUUUUGAGGGACGAUCAGACCCUAUAGAGCUUUUUGGUUGGGGCGACUAGAACUGAUCCCAGUGGAUGGAUUGAAAGACUAAGUUACCUUAGGGAUAACAGCGUUAUCCUUUUGGAGAGUUCAUAUCGAUAAAAGGGGUUGCGACCUCGAUGUUGGAUUAAGAGAUUAAUAGGGUGCAAAAGCUCUUUUGGAAAGUCUGUUCGACUUUUAAUAUCUU
rnacentral:rRNA from 1 species